CCUACGGGAGGCAGCAGUGAGGAAUAUUGGUCAAUGGGCGGGAGCCUGAACCAGCCAAGCCGCGUGAAGGAAGACGGCCCUACGGGUUGUAAACUUCUUUUGUUGCAGGACAACACCCCGGACGCGUCCGGGCAUGAGUGUAUGCAAAGAAAAAGCAUCGGCUAACUCCGUGCCAGCAGCCGCGGUAAUACGGAGGAUGCGAGCGUUAUCCGGAUUUAUUGGGUUUAAAGGGUGCGUAGGCGGACUGACAAGUCAGCGGUAAAAUCGCGGGGCUCAACCCCGCCGCGCCGUUGAAACUGGCGGUCUUGAGUUGGAGAGAAGUAGGCGGAAUGCGCGGUGUAGCGGUGAAAUGCAUAGAUAUCGCGCAGAACUCCGAUUGCGAAGGCAGCCUGCCGGCUCCAUACUGACGCUGAGGCACGAAAGCGUGGGGAU
rnacentral:rRNA from 1 species